rnacentral:rRNA from 1 species
UACGUAGGGUGCAAGCGUUGUCCGGGAUUAUUGGGCGUAAAGAGCUCGUAGGCGGUUUGUCGCGUCUGCUGUGAAAUCUGGGGGCUCAACCCCCAGCCUGCAGUGGGUACGGGCAGACUAGAGUGCGGUAGGGGAGAUUGGAAUUCCUGGUGUAGCGGUGGAAUGCGCAGAUAUCAGGAGGAACACCGAUGGCGAAGGCAGAUCUCUGGGCCGUAACUGACGCUGAGGAGCGAAAGCAUGGGGAGCGAACAGG